CUGAGCUGGUCCUGUGCUGCAGGGCUCCCAGGAGGACCCCGCCCAGGCCAGGCAGGGGGCGGGGCCUCCUGCCCAGAACACGUGGUUAGCAAGAUUGACAGUUUGCAGACACCUGGGCACAGCCCCUGGGCCUCUCUGUGCUCGGCAACCUCAGUGCCCAGCCUAAGCCCGCUGGGUCCCAGUCCCCUGGCGGGAGGAGGGACGGCAGUCGGGGUGGCCCUUUGCUACUGCAGGCACAUGUUACAGGAUAUUUUUACAAACUCUCACAACCAAAGCCGCCUCUGCAUCCCUUGCUGGGGCGUGACGGGGCCACCUCUCCACAGUCACCCUCCACCGCAGGGGACACACGACAGCUACAGGGCCCCCCCCCUUCAUCCUGGGGCUCAGCGUCCUGCACAGGACCCUGCACCCGCCGACGGGCUCUCCUGAGUUGGCCCGAGAGCCAAAGCAAAAAACAGUUUCUCCCCUGCGCCUCAGGCCCUGGCCAGAAGGGUCCAUGGAGACUUGGCCCCUGGCCAGCUUCCGGUCACUCUGCGGAGGCCAGUCUUAUUUGCUGUCCCCAGAUGAAGGCAGGGCGCCAGGGCCUCCCGACAGAAGGACGUGCAAAUCCUCUUCUGGGUGAUCCCAGCGUGACCUGGUUUAGGACGGCCGACCUCAGGUGCCCCUGCCAGCCGCCCUCAGCCCGAGGAGGGGGUGACUGGUAAGUGGGCAGGAGGGGCCUUGGGAGCUCUAUGUUCCCGUGGGCUCAGGGCCUCAGGGAGAGGACCCGCCCUAGGGGAAAAGGCCAGUCCUGAGCCUGGGCCUUGGCUGUGAGGGAGGGGCCUGGACCUUGAGGACUUCCUGGGCAUUUACACCCCACCCUGGCUUCCCACUGACCGGGCAGGGAGGGAGGGUGGGGGCCAGGGGGAGAUGGGCCAAGCCCUCUUCCCAGGCCUACUUAGCAGAUGGCUGAGCUGAAUUCAGUAGGUGCUCAAGCUGUGCGAGGCACGGAGCGAGGGUUCUGAACCCUGGCUGUCCAAACACAGCCUCUGGUCUCUGCCCCUGAGCCACGGCCACCUGGCUAGUGCCCAGCAGAGCCCAGGGUCUCCUCCACAGGAGGGGGCAGGAGGCCUCCCCCCCAAAUCUGUGUCCAUCUGAACCUUGGAAAUGGCGUCUGCUGAUGGGAUCAGGGCACACUGGGAGGACCCCAGAUCUGACCGGUAUCCUCAGAAGGGGGGGACAGAGGACAGACGGCAUGAAGCUGGCGGAGAGCGGAGCGGGGUAGCCCUGAGCCUCAGCUGGCCACAGGCCACUAGAGAGCCCGGAAGCCGAGAGGCCAGGAGGGGUCCUCCCUCAAAGCCUCGGAGGGCGCAGCCCGCAACCCCUGGACCUUAGAUCCUAUCUCCAGGACUGCCAGGGGCCAGAGCUGUCACCUUAAGCUGCCCUGUUCGUGGUCAUUGGUCACAGCAGCCUGGGAAAUGCAUAGACCAAUUUUGAAAACAGAGGGCAUUCACAAGGUCCCCGGAGCUGUCCAGCAUGUCUGGGUGGCAGUCCGGGGCUCGGUCCCCAGCCACCAGCAAAGGGUGACUCUGUCCUUGGGGCUGCCGUCCUCCGCCCACGUCUCCCUCUCAGAUUGGAGAGGAUGGCAGAUGGCCAUCCUUUUUUGGCCUCUCAGAGUCCAGUGCCCAUUCUAGGUGCCCUUAGAUUUAUCUUGAGGGAAUUAUUUCCUCCUGGGUGACUGGGAUCUCCAGGAAAAUCCCUGAUGACUACCUCCUGUUAGAGAACUCCCCAGGACAGGUCCUGCCUCUCCCGGCCAUAGUGUGGCCGGAGAAUGGGUCACCUCUAAGCUCAGUCGGCUGGAUUUUCUUUCCUGUAUCACUGAGCAGGCCUGACCAGAGCAGGGUGGGCUGUGGACAGACAGACUCUUGCUUGCAGAGGCUGCUGUGGUCCACGCCACGGCCCCCACAGUGGCCUGGGCUCCUGCCCGAGUCCGAGUCUCCUCCUUUGGCCCAGAACCCAUUUCCCAACCAACCGUAUCCAGAUUUCCUGUUGGAAAUUGCCUUCCAUCACUGCGUGAGCAACGCCCACAGGUUAGCCAGACGGUUUCCGUUGCUUGCAACCGUGAACUCCAAGACGGCUAGAGAGGUUCAGCUCGGUCUGAGGACUAGGUUUUGUGACCGUGAACUCUAAGACAGCUAGAGAGGGUCAGCUCGGUCUGAGGACUAGGUUUUUCAGAACUCCUGAAUAAAAACGAACGAACAAAAAAAUCCCAAACACUAUAAAAAAUGUUAUCCAGAUUCUUAUGUCACCGAUCGCAGUGUGAAUCAGCUCCAUCACUUUGGAAACCUGCGUAGCAGUAUCCGCUGAAGCUGAGUUACUUGGGCCUAUGACCGCCCGAUGUUAAAUAUAAAACCUCAACAGAAAUACACCCCUGGGUUCCCCCAGAGUCACACUGCUCACAGGGCACCACUCACAGUGUCCCCAACUGGAAUCAGACCGAUGUCUAUCUGCCGAGGAAUGGGUAACCGAAUUGUGCAUAUUCACACAACAAUGAAAACUGCCACUAGACUCGUUAAUAUAUGUCACAGAUAAUGACGUUGAGCAAGAGAAACGGGGGACGGCGAAACAUCGACAUCCCCCUAUUUCCAUCAGGCCCAGAGGCAGGCAGCACCAUCUACGGUUGGAGUGGGGUGGCGGCUGCCUGGGUGGGAAGGGGGUCACUCUCAUACUAGGAGGGGCGUCUGGGGAAUCCUGGGAAUGUUCCUUCCCUUGAUCCUGCGCUGGCCACAUGGGAGAGUCCAUUUCGUGAAAAUGCGUGGGACGGAAGGCUUAGGAUCCGUAGACUUUUCUGAGCGCACACUACGCUAUAAUAACGUCCACCAAAAACCUGACCUCGUUCUUCACCCUCUCACGGCACCUGGGCUGGUGGCUGAGCUCCCCACGUCCCUCUGGUCCAAGGAGGACGCCUGGAAACAGCUCAGUUCCGGUCCUUGGUGGGGCUGGCAAAGCGACCGAUUCUUUACAUCUCAGCCUCAAACCCCUUUGGAGUGACCACUGCGUACCAUGGUACCUCUUGGACAGAAACAUCCUGCGUGGCGGUCAAGGGUGUCCUCUGGUCCGGUCACGGCGAGGUCUGUGGUGCAGGGGAGACGGGGUCAUGAAGGACAGCCUGGGUGCUGUGCUGCCCACCUGCUCUGCGUCCCCGUGGGGAGGCACAGGCGAAUGGCUGCUCACCUCCACCCCGCCCUGGACGCUGGGCACCGACAGAACCCUCGCCCUAGGCUCCAUCAGGACUCCCAAGCAGGAGAAGAGUGUGAAUUCCAUUCCAUGACUGCGUUGGUGUAAAGAAUGUCACCCAGCCUGGAUGCAUUAUGGCAUAUUUACUAUUUUCCUGUGUUUCCCCCUUCCAUGUGUAAAGGAAGUCGGCAAUGGGGCGAUAUAUCAGGGGUCCCUACUGUCUCUGGGCCCUGCCCUGCCUGGGUUCUCAGCCUUGGACAAUGACCGUCCCUCCUCCUCCGUUGGCGUGGGUGUAAAAAGUUCCCAGUCUGCAGGGUUUUCAGGACGAUGAAAGGAGAAAACUCUGCAGCCUGGUGGGAGCUCAGGAGAUGUCAGCUGUUCAUUAACACUCGUGGACCCCGCGGCUCCUCCUGUGUGGGGCCUGCACACUGGGGCAAGUGAGGCUGGCCACAGAUGGCUCACGCACUCUGUGUCUGCCACCCCCAGGGCAGGCCUGGGACAGGAACAAGGGCCCUCGCUGGCUGAGCGUGCCCUGCGGGUGGGUUCCUCGCGGCUCACAUGACUCAGUACCUCACUCAAUCUCUCAAGUUGCUGGUCAGGUGGGCGCCAUGGUUCCUGCUUUGCAAUAGAACGUGGAGGCUGUUUAGGCCGCUUCUGUUGCUAUAACAAAAUGCCCGAGGGUAGGCAGUUUUUAUAAGACUAGAGAGGCUUCUUGGCUUAUUAUGGUCCUGGAGGCUGGAGGCCCAAGGGCGCGGAGCUGGCGUGUGGUGAGGGUUGCGUGGUGUCACGGCAGAGGCAUUGCAUGGUGAGACAGAGCUAGUGGGCCGGGCCAGCCCAGCCCCCACGGAUGCCACCACAGGGGCCACCCUCAUGACCUCGUCUAACCCCCAGGACCUCCCAAACCUCCACCUCCGAGCACCGUCAGCAUGUGAACCUGGGGAGUCAGCGUCCCACGCAUGAGCUCUUGGGGACACCUGGAGCCUACAGCCAGGGCCUGGCAUAAUGGACGGGUGGGAGAGGGGAGGCAGCACUCAUGGUGGCCCUCCCCGUCCCCAGGGCUGGCGGUGGCAGUGGGCACAAGGGAGACGCCCUGGCCCUUUCAGGGAAGACCNCUCUAGUCUAAGGAGGACGCCUGGAAACAGCUCAGUUCCGGUCCUUGGUGGGGCUGGCAAAGCGACCGAUUCUUUACAUCUCAGCCUCAAACCCCUUUGGAGUGACCACUGCGUACCAUGGCACCUCUUGGACAGAAGCAUCCUGCGUGGCGGUCAAGGGUGUCCUCUGGUCCGGUCACGGCGAGGUCUGUGGUGCAGGGGAGACGGGGUCAUGAAGGACAGCCUGGGUGCUGUGCUGCCCACCUGCUCUGCGUCCCCGUGGGGAGGCACAGGCGAAUGGCUGCUCACCUCCACCCCGCCCUGGACGCUGGGCACCGACAGAACCCUCGCCCUAGGCUCCAUCAGGACUCCCAAGCAGGAGAAGAGUGUGAAUUCCAUUCCAUGACUGCGUUGGUGUAAAGAAUGUCACCCAGCCUGGAUGCAUUAUGGCAUAUUUACUAUUUUCCUGUGUUUCCCCCUUCCAUGUGUAAAGGAAGUCGGCAAUGGGGCGAUAUAUCAGGGGUCCCUACUGUCUCUGGGCCCUGCCCUGCCUGGGUUCUCAGCCUUGGACAAUGACCGUCCCUCCUCCUCCGUUGGCGUGGGUGUAAAAAGUUCCCAGUCUGCAGGGUUUUCAGGACGAUGAAAGGAGAAAACUCUGCAGCCUGGUGGGAGCUCAGGAGAUGUCAGCUGUUCAUUAACACUCGUGGACCCCGCGGCUCCUCCUGUGUGGGGCCUGCACACUGGGGCAAGUGAGGCUGGCCACAGAUGGCUCACGCACUCUGUGUCUGCCACCCCCAGGGCAGGCCUGGGACAGGAACAAGGGCCCUCGCUGGCUGAGCGUGCCCUGCGGGUGGGUUCCUCGCGGCUCACAUGACUCAGUACCUCACUCAAUCUCUCAAGUUGCUGGUCAGGUGGGCGCCAUGGUUCCUGCUUUGCAAUAGAACGUGGAGGCUGUUUAGGCCGCUUCUGUUGCUAUAACAAAAUGCCCGAGGGUAGGCAGUUUUUAUAAGACUAGAGAGGCUUCUUGGCUUAUUAUGGUCCUGGAGGCUGGAGGCCCAAGGGCGCGGAGCUGGCGUGUGGUGAGGGUUGCGUGGUGUCACGGCAGAGGCAUUGCAUGGUGAGACAGAGCUAGUGGGCCGGGCCAGCCCAGCCCCCACGGAUGCCACCACAGGGGCCACCCUCAUGACCUCGUCUAACCCCCAGGACCUCCCAAACCUCCACCUCCGAGCACUGUCAGCAUAUGAACCUGGGGAGUCAGCGUCCCACGCAUGAGCUCUUGGGGACACCUGGAGCCUACAGCCAGGGCCUGGCAUAAUGGACGGGUGGGAGAGGGGAGGCAGCACUCAUGGUGGCCCUCCCCGUCCCCAGGGCUGGCGGUGGCAGUGGGCACAAGGGAGACGCCCUGGCCCUUUCAGGGAAGACCUGGCCUCGCUUUUCAGCCGGUGGCUCUGUCACCCAGAGAGCAGUUUCCGGCUGCAUCUCCGGCUCCCACAGGCCACGAGGUUGUCCUCUGGAGCCCCGCACCGAGGUCGGGGCUGGACCCCGCGGCUCCUCCUGUUCAGCCGCCUGCGACUCUGUGGCGAUCUAAGUGCCCCCCGUUUCCCGGAGGCCCCUGCUUUCCUUCCUGUGUGGCUCUGAGCUGCCCCUCCAGCCAGCAGAGGCUCUGCGCCCUGCCCACUCCUCCCUCCCAGGAAGGCCUCAGGAGCCGUGGUCGGGCACGGAGCCAUGGGAGGCGCUCGCUGACCCCUGAGCAGCCCCUCGGGUCCCGCCCGCCUUCUAGGAAGAUGGAUGGAGGCUUGGACUCCCUCUCUCCCUGCACUUUCUCGUCUCCAUUCACUUUAGAAGAUGUUUGUCCAUUACUCUGCAGACUAUUUUGAUCUGCACAAGGAUCACGAGGAGAGAAGGAGCGGCCUUGGCACCCCUGCCCGGCGGGCCAGCUGGGACUCGCCAUCUGUCCACAGAAGCGCCUGGGCUGGGGCCUCCGACGGAGGCUCAGAGGCCUCACCCUGGGUCUGGUGGCGGGUUGGAUCAGCUGUUUCACCACUGUGACUAAAGGACCUGACCAGAACAUCUGCAGAGGAGGGAAGGUG
rnacentral:lncRNA from 1 species